ensembl:snRNA U6 U6 spliceosomal RNA
GUACUCAUUUUGGCAGUAUAUAUGAGAACUAGAACAAAGCAAAAAAGAUCAGCUUAGUCCCUGGGAAAGGGUGACAUGCAAAUUCAUGAAGUGUUUCAAAUUGUU